GGGGAAUUUUGGACAAUGGGCGAAAGCCUGAUCCAGCAAUGCCGCGUGCAGGAUGAAGGCCUUCGGGUUGUAAACUGCUUUUGUACGGAACGAAACGGUUCUUUCUAAUAAAGAGGGCUAAUGACGGUACCGUAAGAAUAAGCACCGGCUAACUACGUGCCAGCAGCCGCGGUAAUACGUAGGGUGCAAGCGUUAAUCGGAAUUACUGGGCGUAAAGCGUGCGCAGGCGGUUAUGUAAGACAGUUGUGAAAUCCCCGGGCUCAACCUGGGAAUUGCAUCUGUGACUGCAUAGCUAGAGUACGGUAGAGGGGGAUGGAAUUCCGCGUGUAGCAGUGAAAUGCGUAGAUAUGCGGAGGAACACCGAUGGCGAAGGCAAUCCCCUGGACCUGUACUGACGCUCAUGCACGAAAGCGUGGGGAGCAAAC
rnacentral:rRNA from 1 species